rnacentral:rRNA from 1 species
AAACUUAAAGGAAUUGACGGGACCCGCACAAGCGGUGGAUGAUGUGGUUAAUUCGAUACAACGCGAAGAACCUUACCCACCUUUGACAUGGCAGGAAUCCCGAAGAGAUUUGGGAGUGCUCGAAAGAGAACCUGCACACAGGUGCUGCAUGGCUGUCGUCAGCUCGUGUCGUGAGAUGUUGGGUUAAGUCCCGCAACGAGCGCAACCCUUGCCAUUAGUUGCUACGAAAGGGCACUCUAAUGGGACUGCCGGUGACAAACCGGAGGAAGGUGGGGAUGACGUCAAGUCCUCAUGGCCCUUAUAGGUGGGGCUACACACGUCAUACAAUGGCCGGUACAGAGGGUAGCCAACCCGCGAGGGGGAGCCAAUCCCACAAAGCCGGUCGUAGUCCGGAUCGCAGUCUGCAACUCGACUGCGUGAAGUCGGAAUCGCUAGUAAUCGUGGAUCAGCAUGUCACGGUGAAUACGUUCCCGGGUCUU